rnacentral:rRNA from 1 species
UGCGCUGCCUUNCAUGCAAGUCGAACGGUAACAGGUUCUUCGGAUGCUGACGAGUGGCGAACGGGUGANUAAUACAUCGGAACGUGCCCGAUCGUGGGGGAUAACGCAGCGAAAGCUGUGCUAAUACCGCAUACGAUCUACGGAUGAAAGCGGGGGAUCGCAAGACCUCGCGCGGACGGAGCGGCCGAUGGCAGAUUAGGUAGUUGGUGGGAUAAAAGCUUACCAAGCCGACGAUCUGUAGCUGGUCUGAGAGGACGACCAGCCACACUGGGACUGAGACACGGCCCAGACUCCUACGGGAGGCAGCAGUGGGGAAUUUUGGACAAUGGGCGCAAGCCUGAUCCAGCCAUGCCGCGUGCAGGAUGAAGGCCUUCGGGUUGUAAACUGCUUUUGUACGGAACGAAAAAGCUCUCUCUAAUACAGGGGGUGAAUGACGGUACCGUAAGAAUAAGCACCGGCUAACUACGUGCCAGCAGCCGCGGUAAUACGUAGGGUGCAAGCGUUAAUCGGAAUUACUGGGCGUAAAGCGUGCGCAGGCGGUUAUGUAAGACAGAGGUGAAAUCCCCGGGCUCAACCUGGGAACUGCCUUUGUGACUGCAUAGCUGGAGUGCGGCAGAGGGGGAUGGAAUUCCGCGUGUAGCAGUGAAAUGCGUAGAUAUGCGGAGGAACACCGAUGGCGAAGGCAAUCCCCUGGGCCUGCACUGACGCUCAUGCACGAAAGCGUGGGGAGCAAACAGGAUUAGAUACCCUGGUAGUCCACGCCCUAAACGAUGUCAACUGGUUGUUGGGUCUUCACUGACUCAGUAACGAAGCUAACGCGUGAAGUUGACCGCCUGGGGAGUACGGCCGCAAGGUUAAAACUCAAAGGAAUUGACGGGGACCCGCACAAGCGGUGGAUGAUGUGGUUUAAUUCGAUGCAACGCGAAAAACCUUACCCACCUUUGACAUGUACGGAAUCCUUUAGAGAUAGAGGAGUGCUCGAAAGAGAGCCGUAACACAGGUGCUGCAUGGCUGUCGUCAGCUCGUGACGUGAGAUGUUGGGUUAAGUCCCGCAACGAGCGCAACCCUUGCCAUUAGUUGCUACGAAAGGGCACUCUAAUGGGACUGCCGGUGACAAACCGGAGGAAGGUGGGGAUGACGUCAAGUCCUCAUGGCCCUUAUAGGUGGGGCUACACACGUCAUACAAUGGCUGGUACAAAGGGUUGCCAACCCGCGAGGGGGAGCCAAUCCCACAAAGCCAGUCGUAGUCCGGAUCGCAGUCUGCAACUCGACUGCGUGAAGUCGGAAUCGCUAGUAAUCGUGGAUCAGAAUGUCACGGUGAAUACGUUCCCGGGUCUUGUACACACCGCCCGUCACACCAUGGGAGCGGGUUCUGCCAGAAGUAGGUAGCCUAACCGUAAGGAGGGCGCUUACCACGGCAGGGUUCGUGACUGGGGGAAGUCNAACAGUGCUG